rnacentral:rRNA from 1 species
UACGUAGGUGACAAGCGUUGUCCGGAUUUACUGGGCGUAAAGCGUGCGCAGGCGGUUUUGUAAGCCAGAUGUGAAAGCCCCGGGCUUAACCUGGGAAUGGCAUUUGGGACUGCAAGGCUGGAGUGUGGCAGAGGAGACUGGAAUUCCUGGUGUAGCAGUGAAAUGCGUAGAUAUCAGGAGGAACACCGAUGGCGAAGGCAGCUCGCUGGGACGUUACUGACGCUGAGACGCGAAAGCGUGGGGAGCAAACAGG